CUUACGUUCUCAUUGAGCUGGUAAGGUAGUUCAGCGCCUGUUUAAUAUACUUCCUGUUUGCUCACUUCUCUAGAAGCGUUUCCCCGUUGAAAGCCUCAGUGGCUCAUCGCCUUGGUGAUAAGCUUCGAGUCCCUGUACAGUUGCGUGUGGUCCUCUGACACUCCCCCAACCCCUCACAAGAUCACACAAUGUACUGCUUCAAGAUGGCUUCAAAAUGACAAUCCUUUAAGAACAAAAUGCUAAGGACUUAACUGAAUUAAAAAAAACACAUUUAUUUGACUCCUUUAGGGCUCUCAAACGGUAUCCUUGGGUGAUGCAAUUCAUAUUACCUGCACAGAGGAAAGUAAGAACGCAACAAGGAAAUCCACAGAGGGACCGCAGCGGUGGGGGAGUCCAGAUGACAACAUUCUUGGGAUUCAGUGCAGAAGCUGAAUGACUCAUGGGGAAGAAAAUUGAAAGGGCUAUUAGGGAAUGAGCUAUAGAACAACAGGGAGUAAAGUGACAACGGUAUGAAUUGGGGAUUACAAAGUGGCCCCACCAGGAAUAAUCUAUGGCUGCAUAGCUACUAGGACAGGGAUUGGGAGCUCAUGCAGUCAUGGGGGGGAGACACCGUACCCGCCUAUCAAGAGCCAGCCCAUGUAAAGUGGGGUCACAGCUGAUUGACAGGUGACCGUAAGGAAAGGAUGCCACUCCACAAUACUCUAUGGCUACAGGCUUAUCCCGCCAUGUCUUCAUACUGUAACUGAUUAUAAGCCUGAGCAUAAAGGUGCGUUUUUAAUUGAUUUAAGUAUGGAGACUGUGCUUGACUCCCUUAAGUUUUGUAAGGGUGUUCCACAGUAGUGAGGCUCUGUAGGAGAGCACUCUACCACCCUUCAGGUUUUUAGACAUUUGUGGAACAAGUAGCCUGAGUCUUGAGAACGGAGUGACCUUGUGGGCUUACAAGGUGAUUGAGAAAGACAUUUAAAUCCUGAAAGGAUCUUUGUCGUGUAAAAUUAAUACUUUCCUGUACAAAUAAGCAUGGUUCUGGGGGAGACAGGUACUGCAACACAUAACAAAUGUAACAGCACUGUCUUUUUUGAUUAAGGCAUU